UCCCAAGCCUGGCACCUCGCCCUUCUCCAAGUCUCAGAAUCUCUCUCAGAGAAGUUGUUCCAGGGACCAGGCAUCGUCUUGGCUCUGAGAACACAGGAGACCCACGGUUUUGCAAAACCCCUUUAAGAGGCUGGACUCCUGAAUGGUGACCUCACCCCUUGGCGAACACACGAUCCCCCACAGAGCCCACCUGCUGGAGACACCCAGGUGUUUGAUGUAGGCCAACAAAAAGACAUGAUCAGAGCCACAGGUGAGAAAACUGAAGCACAGAGGGGUGAAGCGGCUUGUGCAAGAGCACACAGCAUGAGCUGCAGAGCACCUGGAGCUGGGCCUCCAUGAAUGGCUGUUGACAGAGUGAGAGAAGGAGCUGAGCAGGCACUCUGCUAAAUGUUUCACCUGUUUUAAUUUGUGCACUCCCAAAGCAAUGCUAUGAGGAUGGCACUUGUAAUACCACUGCCUGGUUGAUGUAAACAAGAAAUCCACGUCAUUAAAGCAAUGUUAACUGGUGCUUGGUAUCAUCAUCAUC